AACGAACGCUGGCGGCGUGCCUAACACACGCAAGUUGAACGGGGUUAUAUGGAGAAGCUGGUUUCGGCUGGUGGAUUUGUAUAACUUAGUGGCGGACGGGUGAGUAACACGUAGGUAACCAACCCUCAAGCGGGGGACAACCCAGGGAAACUUGGGCUAAUACCGCAUAAGACCACAGGCUGGGAGGCCAGUGGCAAAAGGAGCAAUUCACUUGAGACGGGCCUGCGGCCUAUCAGGUAGUUGGCGGGGUAAGAGGCCCACCAAGCCAAAGACGGGUAGCCGGACUGAGAGGUUGGACGGCCACACUGGAACUGAGACACGGGUCCAGACUCCUACGGGAGGCAGCAGUGGGGAAUUUUGCGCAAUGGGGGAAACCCUGACGCAGCGACGCCGCGUGGAGGAUGAAGGUCUUCGGAUUGUAAACUCCUUUUGUAGGGGAAAAUAAUGAUGGUACCCUAUGAAUAAGCCACGGCUAACUCUGUG
rnacentral:rRNA from 1 species